rnacentral:rRNA from 1 species
CCUACGGGUGGCAGCAGUGGGGAAUCUUGCCCAAUGGGCGAAAGCCUGAGGCAGCGACGCCGCGUGGGGGAAGAAGGCCUUCGGGUUGUAAACCCCUUUCAGGAGGGACGAAGCCACUCGGGUGAAUAGCCCAGAGGGUGACGGUACCUCCAGAAGAAGCCCCGGCUAACUACGUGCCAGCAGCCGCGGUAAUACGUAGGGGGCAAGCGUUGUCCGGAUUUAUUGGGCGUAAAGCGCGUGUAGGCGGCCAGGCAGGUCCGCUGUGAAAACCCGAGGCUCAACCUCGGGACGUCGGUGGAAACCGCCUGGCUAGAGUCCGGAAGAGGAGAGUGGAAUUCCCGGUGUAGCGGUGAAAUGCGCAGAUAUCGGGAGGAACACCCGUGGCGAAGGCGGCUCUCUGGGACGGUACUGACGCUGAGACGCGAAAGCGUGGGGAGCGA